ensembl:lincRNA
AAAGAAAAUGAGAAAUAACUUAAACAGUCUUAGCCAAACUCUGAAAAAGAUAUCUAGAGCAGCUGCUAUUUUUUCCUUCCCAGAAUGGUUUGCCUUUCCCCCAGUUUGAUGAUUGUUUUUAGAUUAUUUUGGGGCAUAAGAGGAGAAAGGAGGAGGGAACCCAGCCACUAGGAAGUAGCACGAUAAGGUUUGUCGUACCCUGUAAGCUUCAGAAAUUACACAGCUGUUUUAUACAUGCCGGCUUCCUCUCCUUUUCUGAUGCCCCUGACUGGUCUGUAAGGAAUUUAUUUAUGGCGUUCUCUUUAGGAGGCUGGUCAUAGCCCUUGGGUUCCCCCACCCAGUUCAGCCUGUCUUUGUGGUCUAUGGCUCAUCUCUCCAGAGCUUCCGUCACCGCGUGAAGGGUCCUCCAAUUAUCCAAAAAGAGUGCAAGAAAAUCUGUACAGUCAACCAGAUGGGCAGAGCACACUUGACUGCACUGAAAAAUUUCCAGCAGUAGGAUCCCCAGCUUGCCCUUUUGCUGUGAGUCAGUGCCCAAAGUCCACAAGCCUUUUCCCUGAGAUCUCCCCCUCCCUGCUGCCAGGCGGGUUUGGCUGGUUCCCAGAUACCCUGAGAAGGCGGGAGGAGGCAGCUUACAAAGUGGGGAUUCGCUGGACCCUCCUUCUCACCCCGUUCUGUGAUAUCUGUUCCCAAAACGAGCUGGAGGCGACAAAGGAACUGAAACCGAUUUGCCCACGGAUUUGUAUGGCAACAAAAUGUCUGUUGGGCACUUGAACACGGACAAGGAUAAACAGAUGUCUGAUAAGCCAUCUUGGAAAGACUAUGCUUUUGAUGACAUAUGGAGGCUCUAUCAUCUUACGGCUACCACCAUGUUGACUGUUCUGGAUUGUGUUCAAUAUACUGUUCUUUGUUCUGGUCCGUAAAGAGAGAUCUCAUGCUUGGUGGAAAGCUCAGCUCAAGAAGCUUUGAAAUGCAGAUUAGAUUAAUUACACUAGAAUUAUAUUUGAAAAUGGAAAAGAAGCAUUUUCUUUUCUUUUCUUCUUAAGGAUUUUAUUUAUCCACUUGAGAGAGAGACAGCACAGAGGGAGAGUGAGAGGGAAAAGCAGACUCUCUGCUCAGCCUCGUGUGGGCUGAUCCCAGAGCCUUGGGAUCACAACCUGAGCCCAAGGCAAAUGCUUAACUGACUGAGCCACCCAGGCGCCCGAAAAGAAGCAUUUUCUAAAAGGCAAAUUCCAAAUAUAUGCCUUUUCAAAGAAAGUGUCAUUUGGAAAGAAACUGAAUCACACCAUGAAAUCUGUGACAUUUCUUUUGGUUUCCACUCUCUUCUAUACUAGUGGUAGGCUCAUGUGAUAUGUAGAAAUUUGGUUAACCAAAUUUAGCUUGACUUCUCAAGUUAAGAAAAUGUAUAUGCAGUAUUUCUGAGAUAAGAAGAGGCACAUUCUUUUUUUAGCACCUAUACUUCCUAUGCUGCUGUUUUUGCCUUAUUCCCUUAUUUGAAAAUUUGGCUUUGCUUAUAAAAUCUACAAAUUUCUAUCUGUUUAGAACAGGGCUAGAAUAGCCUGGGAUCCUGUGGAACUGAAUGGUAUUUUAGACUGCUGAUUCUCAUUUUCUCUUCAAUAAAGAUCGCAACACAUUACUUAUAUGUAUUUUAUAGCUCACACCCUGGGGAUUACCCACCUGGGAAAGGGACCUGGAUUCUGGUGCAAGCCUUCUGUUUGCUGAGCUAUGUGUUGUUGAGCAAGUCAGAGGUAAUCAGAGGUAAAAUGAGGGAUUGUUGUCUAAAACUCCAUGAUUCUGUUGUUUAAGUAUAAUCAACUCGAGAGUUUGAUGAUUUCUUUGAAAAUUAAAAAAAAAUUCUAGUAACCUUAAAUGCAUACUGCUGAGCCCUAAAUUUAGUUUUGAAAUAAUGUAAGACAGGGAGAAAGGUUUGGGAGGUCCCUUCCUUUAUAUACAUUUUAUAAAGGGAUAUGUUUGUCUAAGGUAUCACCUGCCAAGAGUUAGGAAUCUAUAGAUGCUACCAGAAUUUGAGAUGUAGAGAUAAGGAUAAUGAUUUUUUUUUUUAAUUUGGAAAAAAAUGUAAAACAGAAACGAGUAUCUAAUUUUAUUGCCAAUAAUUUGUAGGACUGAAAGUGAUUACACUGUCAUACCCUUCUACAUUGAAUAAACACUGUGCAAAAGGAUCAGUUACAAUGCAGUAAUUUACCGGGAUUAAAAAGAGUCUCAUUUUUAAGAGCUCAUUUUAAGGGUUGUUGAUUUUUAAAUCAAUAUGCUUAUUGUUUCGUAGUUUAUCUUUUGCUUUGAGAAGCUUUCAGGAAAAGAAAUUUUAUGCAGGAAAUAUAUGUGAUCAUCUUUGUGAUGUGUUAAAAUUGAGAGAAAAUUAAACUUUAGUAAGAAAAACCAUACUAGAUGCAGAAAUAGACAAAGAACCACAUAUUAGAUAUAGAUUAGAUAUACUGUAUGAAGAUGAUUUUUUAUAAUGGCUUUUAAAAUUCAACCUUAAGAUACAGAUUUUUUUUUUAACUGAGGAUAGGAGAGCAAUGUAUUUGUGUUGGAAUUUAAUCACAUGUGUUUAUUCAUAUGGGUACAUCUACAUAUGUAUGCCUUUGUGUAUAUAAUUUAUGCUAUGUAUUAUGCAUAUAGUAUAUACACACGUAUGUCUGUUGGCAUUCUUGUCUAUUCUGUAGGAAGAAAAUGCUGCUAUAUUAAAAAAUGUCUAGCGUUCAGUUAAUUCUGAAAAAAAUCACAUUGUUUCUUUGGCUUUUUUUGUUACUUCCUGUUGGCCUAGUGGCAAUGACUCAUUGUAAUAUAAUGUAAUACACACAGUUUCCAGUAUCACAUGAUGACUAUAAAUGAAUAUAUAAGAAAUCUGGAACACUGUUCUUGUUUUAAAAAUGUAAACAUUGAACAGAAGCUUAUUCAUCAGAGAAUUUGAUGUCACUAAAUAGUAAGAGCUUUGAUUUCAGUAACUCUAAGACUCUGAUGGAAUUGAUCUUCAGUGAAGAAAAGAGACGGAAUUUUACUUUUUAAUAAUUAUUUUAUAGCUUAUAUGUAAAAACAAACAAAGAAAGCUUUUAAAUCAGUUCAUUGUCUCUUUCAGCAAAUAGGUCACUUUUAUCACAGGUGCUAAAAUAUGUUUUCCUAAUAUUAAGCUUAGGGGCACCUGGGUGGCUCAGUGGGUUAAAGCCUCUGCCUUUGGUUCAGGUCAUGAUCCCAGAGUCCUGGGAUCAAACCCCGUAUCGGGCUCUCGGCUCAGUGGGGAGACUGCUUUCCCCCAACCUCUCUCUGCCUGCCUCUCUGCCUACUUGUGAUCUCUCUCUGUCAAAUAAAUAAAUAAAAUCUUAAAAAAAAUAUUAAGCUUAUGUGAUACAUGUACUCAUUUCAAAGUUGGAAAAACAAAGUCCCCAAUGAUUAACUUGAGAGGGGAGAGGAGUAAACAGAAAUACAAACACAAAAGA